rnacentral:tRNA from 1 species
CGGAUGUAGCCAAGUGGAUCAAGGCAGUGGAUUGUGAAUCCACCAUGCGCGAC